rnacentral:pre_miRNA from 1 species
UGUUAAAAUUUACGUCUAUUUCUACUAUUAAAAAUUGACUUGGUUGACAGAAUAAUGUGUACCUCACAUUGAUGUAUAAAGACUAGUUUCUAAUAGUAGAAAUUAAUGUAAUUUUUAAUA